rnacentral:rRNA from 1 species
AGGGAGGUUUGAUCCUGGCUCAGAUUGAACGCUGGCGGCAUGCCUAACACAUGCAAGUCGAACGGAAACGAUGGGAGCUUGCUCCCAGGCGUCGAGUGGCGGACGGGUGAGUAAUACUUAGGAAUCUACCCAGUAGCGGGGGACAACUCGAGGAAACUCGAGCUAAUACCGCAUACGCCCUACGGGGGAAAGCAGGGGAUCUUCGGACCUUGCACUAUUGGAUGAGCCUAAGUCGGAUUAGCUUGUUGGUGAGGUAAAGGCUCACCAAGGCGACGAUCCGUAGCUGGUCUGAGAGGACGAUCAGCCACACUGGGACUGAGACACGGCCCAGACUCCUACGGGAGGCAGCAGUGGGGAAUAUUGGACAAUGGGGGCAACCCUGAUCCAGCAAUGCCGCGUGUGUGAAGAAGGCCUGCGGGUUGUAAAGCACUUUCAGUAGAGAAGAAAAGCCCACGGCUAAUACCCGUGAGUCUUGACGUUACCUACAGAAGAAGCUCCGGCUAACUCCGUGCCAGCAGCCGCGGUAAUACGGAGGGAGCGAGCGUUAAUCGGAAUUACUGGGCGUAAAGCGCGCGUAGGCGGCUUUGUAAGUCGGAUGUGAAAGCCCUGGGCUCAACCUGGGAAUGGCAUUCGAUACUGCAGAGCUAGAGUAUGGUAGAGGGAAGUGGAAUUUCCGGUGUAGCGGUGAAAUGCGUAGAU